rnacentral:rRNA from 1 species
ACCUGUUUAUCCUGCAGGAGGUUGCUGCUAUCGGAAUCCGACUAAGGCAUGCAAGUCUUUGUCGCAAGGCAAGGCAUACUGCUGAGUAACACGUCGAUAACUUGCCGUGUCGUCUGGGAUAACCCUGGGAAACUGGGAUGAAUACCGGAUAAAGAAUUGGGUGUGGAAUACUCCUUUUCUUCAAAGCUUCGGCGCGACACGAUAGGUCGGCGGCCCAUCAGGUUGUUGGUGGGGUAAAGGCCCACCAAGCCGAAGACGGGUAGGGGCUAUGAGAGUGGGAGCCCCCAGAAGGACACUGAGAUACUGGUCCUAGCCCCAAGGGGUGCAGCAGCUACGAAACCUCCACAAUGCACGCAAGUGUGAUGGGGGGAUUCCGAGUGCUCAGGGAUAACCUGGGCUUUUUACAAGGGCAAAUACCUUGUAGAAUAAGUGGUGGGCAAGACUGGUGCCAGCCGCCGCGGUAACCCCAGCGCCACAAGUGGGAACCAGUAUUAUUGGGUCUAAAGCAUCCGUAGCCGGUUUGGUAAAUGCCCUGUGAAAUCGUCUCGCUCAACGAGACGGCGUGCAAGGUAGACUGCCAGACUUGGGACCGGGAGAAGCAAGCGGUAUUCCUGAGGGAGCGGUAAAAUGUGAUAAUCUCAGGAGGACCACCGAUGGCGAAGGCAGCUUGCUAUAACGGAUCCGACGGUGAGGGAUGAAAGCUAGGGGAGCGAUCCGGAUUAGAUACCCGAGUAGUCCUAGCUGUAAACUCUGUGUGCCAGAUGUUGCGUAAUCUCCGAGAUUGCGCAGUGUCGAAACGAAGGUGUUAAGCACACCACCUGGGAAGUACGGUCGCAAGGCUGAAACUUAAAGGAAUUGGCGGGGGAGCACCACAACAGGUGCGGCGUGCGGUUUAAUCGUAUUCAACGCCGAGAAUCUCACCAGGGGCGACGGCACAAUGAUGCUCAGUCUGAAGGGCUUAGCUGAGGAGCCGAGAGGUGGUGCAUGGCCGCCGUCAGCUCGUGCCGUGAGGUGUCCUGUUAAGUCAGGCAACGAGCGAGACCUGUAUCCAUCGUUGCUAACGCGUUCGUAAGAAUGAGCGAGCACACUAUGGAGACUGCCUUGGAAACAAGGAGGAAGGUGCAGGCUACGGCAGGUCCGUAUGCCCCGAAUCUUCUGGGCUACACGCGCGCAACAAUGGCUGCGACAAUGGGAUGCGACUCCGAAAGGAGAAGCCAAUCCUCGAAACGCAGUCCUAGUAUGAAUCGAGGGUUGUAACUCACCCUCGUGACACCGGAAUCUGUAGUAAUCGGAGGUUAUCAUCCUCCGGUGAAUAUGUCCCUGCUCCUUGCACACACCGCCCGUCAAAUCACCCGAGCAGGCUUCAGGUGAGUACUAUUGAGUAAAUAGCCCGAACCUGGGGUCAGUGAGGGGGGUUAAGUCGACACAAGGUA